CGCCACCGCCACCGCCGCCGCCUGUCGCCGAGCCUGGCAUCUCCGAGCCCCCGCGCGGGGGGGCUGCCGCCCAGCGCUGAUUGACAGCCCGCCUCGCCAAUGCCUGGAGGGAGAAAGGAGGACCUGCUGGAGCUGGUGAAGGCACUGGUACCGCAGAAUGAUGCCCACAAGAUCUCCAAGACUCAGAGUGACCACAGGAUAUCCCAGAGGAGUUCUGGUGAGGAUCCAGUGAGAAUGGUGUACCAGAAGCAGAGGCCUUGAUUCAGACCAGUGACUCAUCGCAAUGAACAGUUGCCAGUCAAGCUGAUGGGACAAAGAGGUUACUAUAUGACACACUGAAGCCUCCAAUGCCGUCAGGACGGAUGAAGAGGUGUUGGAGAGGCAGGAAAGAAGAAGCAACGAGAUUUUCCUGUUGUGGAGGAUCUGAACGGAAGGAGAGACAGUUCAUUUCCACCAGCAGCUGUGGAUCCUUUUAAAAUGUACCCGUUCUUCUGCUGGGUGCAGUGAUUCCAGCACUGGAGAGGCACAGGCAGGCAGAUCUCCGAGAGUUCAAUGCCAGUCUGGUCUACAGAUGGAGUUCCAGGACAACCGGAACUGCAUAGUAAGACCUGUAGUGAGACCCUGUCUCAAGGACAAAACAAAACAAACAACCCAUACAUAUAAUCAGCUUCCAUUCUCCCCUCCAUUGUCUUCCCUUCUCCAGGAUGAAAUGCAGCCUUGCAGUUGCUGACUUAGGCUCUUUAUCAUCUGCGGCCACCCCCGCCCCUGUGAAGACUAGAGCUUGUCUGGUGCCGAACUGACAUGCACGCCCUGAGAUGUUAUGAGCAGCCUGCUCGACGUUCCCUCUGCCUGUUCCGCUCUUGGUGUCCAUUCCUUCUGUUGGAGUCUGUCUGUCCCUUGCUAGUCCGCAUGGCCCCAGAGGUUGUCAGCUGCAUACAGAAUAUCUGUUUCUUAUCAGAUUGCCAAGUGUCGGCAUUGACCCCCAUUGUCUAAUUGGGUCUUGAUGAUGGACUGUCUCAUCCAUGAACAUGCUCGAUACUACAAUGUGAGUAUCAUUUCCCUUGAAGCUAAGAGGACCCAAGAACAAAGAGUUGAAGAGAUUUCUCCACACCCACAGCAAAUUUGAAGAGUUUAACUGAAAAUUCUUCUAUUAAGUAACCAGUAUCCCUUGUGAAGUUUUGUAAAUUUAACCUUUUAGUCUCUUAUUCUUUACUUGCCUUCAGUUCUUAAAGAAAAAUCCCCCUACCCAGAGAGCAGAAAUCACCAUGGACAACAUUAUCACAUGUUUGAGAUAUGUAAGAAAACCAAAUGGGAUGUUGAAGCCCAGGAGGGAAAGAAAAAGGUAGUUUGGUUUAGAAGAUAGCCGAGUGACAAAAUGUGUGUGAUGCAGUUCUUAAGUUACUACAGCGAGAUCAGUUUCCAUUCUGUCUCUGCUAGCCUUCUCCCCUGCCUAAGGACUGCAUUGUAAUUGAAUGACCAGGUCAUACUCAGUCUUAGUGUUUAAGCCAAAGUUCAAUCUCACAGGAACAGAGGAGUGUGGCUUUCCAUGGAGAGGAUCCUAAAGUGAAAUGGUGAAAUGCAGUCCUAGACACUGGCAACUUCAGCUGGUGUUGACGUCACAGGUUGCAUGAAGAUUAAAAGAGACUUAGGAGUCAGUGAGAUUGCUCAGUGGGUGAAGAUGCUAAACGUGAUGACCCAAGUUCAGCCUCCAGGUCCCAUGUGACGGAAGGAGUGAAGCGACUCUUUCGAGUUGUCCUCACACACUAAAAUAAAUACAUAUUUUUU